rnacentral:lncRNA from 1 species
CUCAGGCAUCCUUUAAUUUUUUAAGCAUGAUGUGAACACGUCACCUGUUGUAGAAAAUGGCCAGAGCAAGGUAGGUGGCAGACACAUCCUCUGUCUCCUCCUCAAGCUCAGCAGUGGCUGGUGAAGAAUUCAAGAGUGUACCAGUAAGCUUGGACCUGACAGAGCAGCAAACCAUGGAUUCCCAUCCCUGUAACCGUGUCUGUGCCUCCUUACGGAAACACAGUUUGCCAUCUGGUCCUUGAAGUCAUGCUGCUGUAGCCCUUUGCUGAUUAUGCCUUACAAAGUUGAUCCUGCAAGUUGAAUUAAGCUUGUCUAAUCUGAGCAGAAAGCAUCAUUUUCAG